CCCUGCAUCCAAAAGUGAUUGCGGGCUGCCCGUGCCCUGACCAUUGAUAGUGCAGGGAGAUGAAUGUGGAAAGAAGUUUUCCCUGUGUUUGGAGGCUCCACCCAUCCAUUCUAAACCCUAGAGCUUUCCCACA
rnacentral:snoRNA from 1 species